UUCAAUUGUUGUCUAAAUACAAGAUCAACAUUAUUGUCCAGAAUUUUUUUUCUCCUUUUUAGAUUCUUAGAUUUGAAAUCGACAACAUAUAAUAUUGCUUUAUUCCAUUAUUUUUUCGCGGAGUGUUUGUGCUUGAAUUACUCCAUUAAGUUUGCAUAGUAAGAUUUACAUUCAAUUGCUCAGUUAUGACAAGAUUAAUUUGAAGAAACACUCAUACUUCAGUUAAGAAGUUCACUUUUACAACAUACCAACACCAUCAACCAUAGUGUAUAUCAAGGUGAAUGAAGUAUUUCACGUCCCUUGAAACUGCAAACGAACAACGAACAAAG